rnacentral:rRNA from 1 species
UACGUAGGGUGCAAGCGUUGUCCGGAGUUAUUGGGCGUAAAGAGCUCGUAGGCGGUUUGUCGCGUCGAAUGUGAAAACCCGGGGCUCAACCCCGGGCCUGCAUUCGAUACGGGCAGACUAGAGUUCGGUAGGGGAGUCUGGAAUUCCUGGUGUAGCGGUGAAAUGCGCAGAUAUCAGGAGGAACACCGGUGGCGAAGGCGGCUACCUGGACAGAAACUGACGCUGAGGCGCGAAAGCUAGGGGAGCAAACAGG